GUGAGUGCUUGCUUUUUCACAAUUCGUUUUUCAGAGAAACCUUAAAGCUCUGAAACCCUAACCGCACUUCCUAAGCCUUCAUCUUGUAGCAGCUAGCACUGAAAGUUGAAGACCUGUUCGUGUGGACUANUCAACGAAUAGAAGCAAAGAGUUUGCUGUUUCAGUUCACCAAAAGGUAUAACGUUUAACCCUGAUCAUGACCAUUCGCAAGGAUCCAUUGAAGGAAAAAU
rnacentral:lncRNA from 1 species